rnacentral:rRNA from 1 species
GACGUAGGGGGCCAGCGUUGUUCGGAAUUACUGGGUGUAAAGGGUUCGUAGGCGGUGUGGCAAGUCGGGAGUGAAAUCUCUGGGCUCAACUCAGAGACUGCUUCCGAAACUGCUGUGCUGGAGUGUGGGAGAGGCGCGUGGAAUUGCAGGUGUAGCGGUGAAAUGCGUAGAUAUCCGCAGGAACACCCGUGGCGAAAGCGGCGCGCUGGACCACUACUGACGCUGAGGCGCGAAAGCUAGGGGAGCAAACGGG